AUGCACCGAACUGAACUAUCUGAACAUCCACAAGAUGCUCCAGCAGCCAUAAGUGGGAACGCUUCAAGAUGCUUAAACAUCGCAACAACACAUGUAUUAACUACUCCCUCCGUCCGGGAAAAGUUGUCCCCAACGACAUUUUGUGAAAAUCACCUCCCCUUUCUUCCGACAAACUACGCAGCCCUCCCUCCGUCUGCUUCUCUGCUCCGUCGCCUCGCCACGCGCCGGCCGCCUGCUCCGUCGCCUCGCCGCAUGUCGGCCGCCUUCUCCCCCUCGUCUCGCCGCUUCUCUCCGUCCGCACUAGAAGAUCAAGAGGGAAGGGAUCCCCUUUUCUGUAAAGCUCGCGCCUUGCCGGCUCCGUCGGCGGCGCUCGAUGACCCGCUCCUCGUCCUCGAUCUCCUCAUCCUCGAGCACCUCCUCCAGACCCCCAGCUCCGGCAGCGGCGCUCGAUGA
rnacentral:rRNA from 1 species